UACGUAGGGUGCGAGCGUUAAUCGGAAUUACUGGGCGUAAAGCGUGCGCAGGCGGUUCGCUGUGUCCGAUGUGAAAGCCCCGGGCUUAACCUGGGAAUGGCAUUGGAUACUGGCAGGCUAGAGUGCGGUAGAGGGUGGUGGAAUUCCCGGUGUAGCAGUGAAAUGCGUAGAGAUCGGGAGGAACAUCUGUGGCGAAGGCGGCCACCUGGACCAGCACUGACACUGAGGCACGAAAGCGUGGGGAGCAAACAGG
rnacentral:rRNA from 1 species